GGUUGACUCAGCCUUCCAUUCUUCCAAGGUCCAGUAAAAUGAAGACCCAGAUUGUCGGGGGCAAUAUCCUGACUCUAUAAGCCACUUAGAGGGAACUGUAAAGCACCGUGAAGCGGUAUAUCAGUCU